UAAAAAUCAUAAAUUAAUUUCUUUUGAAAAAAAAUAAACAGUAAUUAAUUUGAUCUUUUUUUCAUUUACAAAAGUUUUGAGUUCCAAUUUUUACAGAAACUUUGAUCUAUUUGUUCCCCGUUAUUUUUUUAAGUAGACUUGAUCGCCAUUCCCCCCGUUAUUUUUUGAAGAAGACUUGAUCGCCAUUCCCCCCGUUAUUUUUUGAAGAAGACUUGAUCGCCAUUCCUCCCGUUAUUUUUUGAAGUAGAUUUGAUCGCCAUUUUACACUUGACAGGAAAUGUUAUGUAAACUGAUCGGACAAACUAUUACUACAUCAAAUAACAUUAUACUUUUUGUUGACAAAACUUUAAAUUGGGCCG
rnacentral:lncRNA from 1 species